GGGUGUCCCCUUUCUCCCUCAAGGUUCCAUGUGUGUCCCUCCCGAAGCUGCACACUCAGUCCAAGAGGAAUGCCUUCCCCGAUAGAGGAGGACCGUUCUUUGGUCAAGGGUCUACGAGUAGUGCGCUCCCCUGCUAGAACCUCCAAACACGCUCUCAAGGCCAUCAGGCUUCUUAAAUCCUGGAAGCACGUCAGCAGACAGGAAAAUAAAGCUGGGGCUGAAGUCAUUUCAAAUCCGGAUGAACCUCUGAGGUGGCUUGCACU
rfam:Ictidomys tridecemlineatus contig048975, whole genome shotgun sequence.